AUUAAUACAAAUUCAUAAAGCAUUUAUCUUUUGAUGAAGAUAAAAUUCAAAGGCAGAAAUCUCUGGCUGGACAGAAAAAUGUUUAUUCUUUGGAGUCUUUUUGAUUAUUACAGGAGAUUGCAAGGAUGACUUCUUGGUGAUUUUAAUUACAUACAAUUUUUUUUCAUCUUGUUUCACUCCUGAAAAGUAGCAAUAAGUACAAUGUGAAAAUUAAUUUUUCCUCUUAAGAGAUAUGAAAAACUACAUUUUGAGAAUUUACUAGCACAUGAAGAUCACCUUGGCAUAUUUGUGAGCUGUUUAACAAUUUAUAAUCCUUCCAUGUAAAAUUUUAGUAUACAAUUUUUAAUCUCUGUAGCUAAAAAGUGAUGAAACAAGACAAUCAUAGGUACGAUGUCACUUUUCUACAAGUUGUUUAGAAACAUAAUGUUUUGAAGUUUUUCCGUUUUACAUACAACUCAAUUAAAGUUGUUACUUAGCUUCUUUGGAAUGACUCUGAAUUUAAUUGCUACUAAACUAAUUUGCUUUUCAAAACUGUUUUGGCUGUUAUAAUUGUAACCUAUUAGUUAUAUGCUAAACAACCAAGGUGGCACAUAGCUACUCUAAAUUCUACAAUAAUUAUGCCAGUUGUAAACUGACGCUCAGGAAAGAUUAGCUGUUGGAUGAAAAUUUAGUAAUUACUAAAAUCUGAGUAAAAACUAACCUUUUUAUUCAAGGUAUAAAUCCAAUCUUCAAAUUGACAAGACCAGGCAAAGAGUUUAAAAUGGUUUUUAGUUUAUUUGGGAAGAAUAUCUCUUUAGAAAUUAUUAUCAGCAUAUGGAGGCAUUUUGAAAAGUAAUACUAAAUGUUCUAAAAAUGAAACAAAAACACAAAACAAAGAACAAAGCCAAUCAUAUAAAAAUAUUUUUAAUUAAAAUGUAAUUCCAGACAAUGCAAAGAAUGAAAUUGGGAGGGCCUACAUAAUAAUGAGUCUCCUAUUUCUGCUUAAAUGUCAGAAGACUGCCCCUGUGAUGGUAGGUUGAGGUAGCUCUAGGCUGUGAGUUGAGAGGCACAUCUUACCCCUGUGCCUAAAUAACUUCAGUGUGAAAGGCUGAAAUUCUACUUCUAGAAGUAAGGUCAAUUCUGAAGGUCAGAAAGAGAAAGACAAAUACCAUAUGAUAUCACUUAUAUCUGGAAUCUAAUAUGUGGCACAAAAGAACGUUCCCAAAGAAAAGAAAUUCAUGGACUGGAAGAACAGACUUGUGGUUGCAAAGGGGGCAGAAGUGGGAUGAACUAGGAGUUUGGGGUUAAUAGAUACAAACUAUUGCAUUUGGAGUAGGUAAGCAAUGAGAUUCUACUGUAUAGCGCAGGGAACUGUAUAUAGUCACUUGUGAUGGAACAUAAUGGAGGAUAAUAUGAGAAAAAGAAUAUGUGUAUAUAUAUAUAUAUAUACAUAAUAUAUAUGUAUGUAUGAAUGGGUCACUUUGCUGUAUGUAGAAAUUGACAGAACACUGUAAAUGAACUAUAAU
rnacentral:lncRNA from 1 species